rnacentral:rRNA from 1 species
GAUGCAGCGCCGCCGCGUGAGGGAUGAUGGUCUUCGGGUUGUAAACCUCUUUCAGGAGGGGCCCUCCGCAAGGUGACGGUACCUGCAGAAGAAGCGUGGAAAAGUAAAUGCCAGCAGCCGCGGUAAUACGUAGGGCGCAAGCGUUAUCCGGAAUUAUUGGGCGUAAAGAGCUCGUAGGCGGUUUGUCGCGUCUGCCGUGAAAGUCCGGGGCUCAACUCCGGAUCUGCGGUGGGUACGGGCAGACUAGAGUGAUGUAGGGGAGACUGGAAUUCCUGGUGUAGCGGUGAAAUGCGCAGAUAUCAGGAGGAACACCGAUGGUGAAGGCAGGUCUCUGGGCAUUAACUGACGCUGAGGAGCGAAAGCAUGGGGAGCGAACAGGAUUAGAUACCCUGGUAGUCCAUGCCGUAAACGUUGGGCACUAGGUGUGGGGGACAUUCCACGUUUUCCGCGCCGGAGCUAACGCAUUAAGUGCCCCGCCUGGGGAGUACGGCCGCAAGGCUAAAACUCAAAGGAAUUGACGGGGGCCCGCACAAGCGGCGGAGCAUGCGGAUUAAUUCGAUGCAACGCGAACAACCUUACCAAGGCUUGACAUGAACCGGACCCGCUGCAGAAAUGUGGUUUCCCCCUUUGGGGCUGGUUUACAGGUGGUGCAUGGUUGUCGUCAGCUCGUGUCGUGAGAUGUUUGGGUUAAGUCCCGCAACGAGCGGCAACCCUCGUUCUAUGUUGCCAGCACGUGAUGGGCGGGGACUCAUAGGAGACUG